AUUGAACGCUGGCGGCAUGCCUUACACAUGCAAGUCGAACGGUAACAGGUCUUCGGAUGCUGACGAGUGGCGAACGGGUGAGUAAUACAUCGGAACGUGCCUAGUAGUGGGGGAUAACUACUCGAAAGAGUGGCUAAUACCGCAUGAGAUCUACGGAUGAAAGCAGGGGAUCGCAAGACCUUGUGCUACUAGAGCAGCCGAUGGCAGAUUAGGUAGUUGGUGGGAUAAAAGCUUACCAAGCCGACGAUCUGUAGCUGGUCUGAGAGGACGAUCAGCCACACUGGGACUGAGACACGGCCCAGACUCCUACGGGAGGCAGCAGUGGGGAAUUUUGGACAAUGGGCGCAAGCCUGAUCCAGCAAUGCCGCGUGCAGGAUGAAGGCCUUCGGGUUGUAAACUGCUUUUGUACGGAACGAAAAGCCCUGGGUUAAUACCCUGGGGUCAUGACGGUACCGUAAGAAUAGGCACCGGCUAACUACGUGCCAGCAGCCGCGGUAACAC
rnacentral:rRNA from 1 species